rnacentral:rRNA from 1 species
UGGGGAAUUUUGGACAAUGGGCGAAAGCCUGAUCCAGCAAUGCCGCGUGUGUGAAGAAGGCCUUCGGGUUGUAAAGCACUUUUGUCCGGAAAGAAAUCCUUGGCUCUAAUACAGUCGGGGGAUGACGGUACCGGAAGAAUAAGCACCGGCUAACUACGUGCCAGCAGCCGCGGUAAUACGUAGGGUGCAAGCGUUAAUCGGAAUUACUGGGCGUAAAGCGUGCGCAGGCGGUUUGCUAAGACCGAUGUGAAAUCCCCGGGCUCAACCUGGGAACUGCAUUGGUGACUGGCAGGCUAGAGUAUGGCAGAGGGGGGUAGAAUUCCACGUGUAGCAGUGAAAUGCGUAGAGAUGUGGAGGAAUACCGAUGGCGAAGGCAGCCCCCUGGGCCAAUACUGACGCUCAUGCACGAAAGCGUGGGGAGCAAACAGGAUUAGAUACCCUGGUAGUCCACGCCCUAAACGAUGUCAACUGGUUGUUGGGGAUUCAUUUCCUUAGUAACGUAGCUAACGCGUGAAGUUGACCGCCUGGGGAGUACGGUCGCAAGAUUAAAACUUAAAUGAAUUGACGGGGUCAUAGCUGUUUCCU